UAUUAUUAUUUAAAUAUUGAAAAUAUUACUCUUGAUAUAAGAAUUCAAAUUCUUCUCAUUCAAACUCCCCGAUAUUAACUUUCAAUUUAAUUUAACUCAAUUUUGAUUCAUUAAUAUAAAUUAUUUAACAUUAUUUACAAAUACGAAUAAAUUAUCAGAAAAAUAUUGUGUUUACAAGCACGAACAGCUGUAACUGUAAAUCAAGUUACUUGAACGAAGCAGGUUAUAUUAAGCUUUCUUUCAUACGAAAUUCGCUAUAUCUGACUGUAUAUGUUACAUAUGUAUACUGACGACAGUUUUUCGUGAAUUAUUCGAAAACAGAAAAAAUAUCUUAUUCGCAUUAAAACUUGUGAACAGCUCUAGCCAAUUCUAAAAAGAUUAAAUUGAAAUCAUUACGUAUAUAUAUAUUUCGAUAUUUGAUGUAAGAUGUAUUCCAGUAUCGAGUAUACUUUAUUUAUUUAAUUUACAGAUAUUCGAAAUUUCGAUAGAUUCGUAUGUAAUGUAAUAAGCGAAGGAAAUAAUCAUCAGCUUUCCAUAAAAUUUUCAAUUUCUUUUCCAAUUUAUUACCUGAAAAUAAAAUAACAAAUAAAACUAAUCCGAGAAUCUUAAUAAAUAUUUUGCACGAGGCUUAGAUAAGAAUUGAAAAAAAUAGUAACGUAACAAACGUUUAAUAAUAAACAAGAAAUCUUUUAGGCGAAGAAUAAUAGCAGUUGUUAUUUUUAGAUUCAUCGUCUAUCGAAAAACUGGUAUUUUAAUAAUAUACGUUAAAAUUAAGUUCAAUGUUUCAAUAAAAUUAUUCUACGUUAAAUUCUAAUUCCAUAUUUUUUAUUCUAUAAUUAUGCGUAUUUAAAUUGAUCCGAUUCAAACGAAUCGUUUAUUUUCAUUAUAAAAUAUGCCAAUACUACCAAACAUCGGAUACGAUAUUCAAAUAUAUCGAAAUAACGCACCGCCAUUGCUUUGCUGUUCUCAGACGAGUUCAUUAUAACCUGCUCGUAGUUUGUUGAAAUGUCCACACUGCUGGCGAUCAUGUUUCGCGAGUUGUUCGUGAACAGCGUUCGUGUGGACGCGGCAUAAGGUAUUCAUCCGAUGCAGUAUCUAAUUUCGCAGCGCUGUCCUUGUUUAACCUAUUGUCAAUGAGCGAUUCGUGAUGUCGUAUAAGACUAUUUAUUUUUUAUGGUUUAUCAGCAACUUCAGUUCGAUUAAAAUUGUCGAAGAUUCGAAAUACAAACAGAUCGAUCGAAGAAACAGGAAUUGAAAUUGCGAUUCUAAAUUUCACAAGAAUUUCGCUCUCUGCUUUCGUAUAUGUAUACAAUCGAUAUCCACGAAUCAUAUUCACGAAUCGUCAUGCGAAACAAGGUUAAGUCGUACACUUUGAAAACUAAUAUAAGACAUACGAAAAGUGGCACAGCAGUAAAAAGAGGUCACAUACUUAUACGCAUCUAAAUGAUAAAUGCAUUUGUAUUUAUCGGUCUACCAACGUGUCAAACAAUAUAAUUCAAAGCAAAAUGAUUUAAUCGUAAUUAAAAUCAAUUGGUUGGUCCGUUGAUGAGUUGCUUAAAUAGAAUGUUAUCGAAAAAAUUAAUAACAGGGAUAACGAUAUGUCUAAAUAGAAAACUAUAUAUAUAUAUAUAGCAGUAUAAUGAAAAUUCAUGUUUCUUAUAAUCUGCUAUUUAAAAUGAUAAAUUAUGUUAAUAACAAUCGUUAAAUCUUUCAAGCAUUAUUUAUGAUAUUAUCAGAGAAAUUAUGCUAAAAAAAAAAAGAUGUACACCGAAUAUAUUAUCCGCUUUCAGUGAUUGCAUUUGAAUAACCUUAAUUAAUAUUGCAUUAACGAAUAAAAAGUAAUAAGAAUAUCUGGACACGUUGAAACAUAUGCCGUUUAAUUUAAAUAUUUAAUAAAUAUCAACACGUAUAUUAACAUGUAUAAUAUAAUAUAAGAUAAUAUAAGAUAACAAAUAAAAAUAUUUAAUUGUA